UACGUAGGGUGCGAGCGUUAAUCGGAAUUACUGGGCGUAAAGCGUGCGCAGGCGGUUUUGUAAGCCAGAUGUGAAAUCCCCGGGCUCAACCUGGGAAUGGCAUUUGGGACUGCAAGGCUGGAGUUUGGCAGAGGAGACUGGAAUUCCCGGUGUAGCAGUGAAAUGCGUAGAUAUCGUAAGGAAGGCCGGUGGCGAAAGCGAGCCUCUGGACAGUUACUGACGCUGAUGCACGAAGGCCAGGGGAGCAAACGGG
rnacentral:rRNA from 1 species